UGAGAGACUGACGCAGGGCAUGGAU
rnacentral:sRNA from 1 species